GCCUGAAGCCUUUAGACAC
rnacentral:tRNA from 1 species